rnacentral:rRNA from 1 species
CCUACGGGUGGCAGCAGUGAGGAAUAUUGGUCAAUGGGCGGGAGCCUGAACCAGCCAAGUCGCGUGAGGGAUGACGGUCCUAUGGGUUGUAAACCUCUUUAGGCGGGGAGCAAUGCCGGGCACGUGUGCCCGGUGGGAGAGUACCCGCAGAUUAGGCAUCGGCUAACUCCGUGCCAGCAGCCGCGGUAUUACGGAGGAUGCGGGCGUUAUCCGGAUUUUUUGGGUUUAAAGGGAGCGUAGAUGGGUUGUUAAGUCAGUUGUGAAAGUUUGCGGCUCAACCGUAAAAGUGCAAUUGAUACUGGCAGCAUUGAGUACAGUUGAGGUAGGCGGAAUUCGUGGUGUAGCGGUGAAAUGCUUAGAUAUCACGAAGAACUCCGAUUGCGAAGGCAGCUUACUAAACUGCCACUGACAUUGAUGCUCGAAAGUGUGGGUAUCAAACAGGAUUAGAUACCCCAGUAGUC